ensembl:lncRNA
CAUACACACUCCAAGACAAACAGACACACUCCAAGACAAACAGACACACAUACACACUCCAAGACAAACAGACACACAUACACACUCCAAGACAAACAGACACACAUGCACACUCCAAGACAAACAGACACACAUACACACUCCAAGACAAACACACACAUACACACUCCAAGACAAACAGACACACAUGCACACUCCAAGACAAACAGACACACAUACACACUCCAAGACAAACAGACACACAUACACACUCCAAGACAAACAGACACACAUACACACUCCAAGACAAACAGACACACAUACACACUCCAAGACAAACAGACACACAUACACACUCCAAGACAAACAGACACACGCACAGAGCAAGAGAGGAGUCGGACAAAAACAAGGGGGACAGGCUGAAUUACAAUACUAAUUGAAGCAGGGCUUUAUAAUUACAACAAAUAGAUGUCAGAAUGUUGGGUCUGAAUGGUGUUUUAGUUCAUUAGUGCUGUAAUUACAAGAGCUCAUUAACUUCUCCAGCAGCAGCCCCCCCCCGAUCCUGUCUGGGCUCAGUUCUUUACGGGUGGGCUCCUGAGUGGAGCAGGGCUGGCUAUACGGGAGAGCAAGGGUGGCUGGUGUGUGUGUGCGUGUGCAUGAAAUUGGGGGGGGUUGGGAGUAGCUGAUGGAAGGUAUUGGUUGGAGAGGCUGGUUGUUGUUGAUAGAUGAUGGUAAUGGUGUGAAGGAAGUUGAUGGGAGGUAUUAGUUGGAGAGGCUGGUUGUUGUUGAUAGAUGAGGGUAAUGGUGUGAAGGAAGUUGAUGGGAGGUAUUAGUUGGAGAGGCUGGUUGUUGUUGAUAGAUGAGGGUAAUGGUGUGAAGGAAGUUGAUGGGAGGUAUUAGUUGGAGAGGCUGGUAUUGUUGAUAGAUUAGGGUAAUGGUGUGAAGGAAGUUAAGACCAUAUAAAGCUCUCUGUAAAGUACUCCCUGCACCCAUCUUGCUAAAUCAGGAGACAUAAACAGUGGUUUGCUGCAGCACUCAAGAGCUGUAAAAGGUGCAUUUAUUAUCUUAUAUUUACUGUCUCACCCUCACUCUCUCUCUCUCUCGCUCUCUAUCUCUCUCACAAUAUCUCCCUCUCUCUCUCUCCCUCUCCCUCCCUCUCUCUUUCUCUCUAUCUCUCUCUCUCUCUCCCUCUCUCUUUCCCUCUCUCUCCCUAUCUUUCCCUCCCUCUCUCUUUCCCCCCCUCUCUCUCUCCCCCUCUCUCUCUC